ensembl:misc_RNA Metazoa_SRP Metazoan signal recognition particle RNA
GCCGGGGAUGGUGGCAUGCGCCUGUAGUCCCAGCUACUCAGGAAACUGAGGUGGGAGGAUCGCUUGAGCUCAGGAGUUUUGGGCUGUAGUGCACUAUGCCAAUCAGGUGUCCACACUAAGUUCAGCAUCAGUAUGGUGACCUCCUGGGAGUGGGAGACCACCAGGUUGCCUAAGGAGGAGUGAACUUGCCCAGGUCAGAAAUGGAGCAGGUGAAAACUCCUAUACAGAUCAGUGCCUGUGACUAGCCACUGCACUCCAGCCUGGGCAACAUGGCGAGACUUGGUCUCUU